rnacentral:rRNA from 1 species
CCAGACUCCUACGGGAGGCAGCAGUGAGGAAUAUUGGUCAAUGGGCGGGAGCCUGAACCAGCCAAGUCGCGUGAGGGAAGACGGUCCUAUGGAUUGUAAACCUCUUUAGGCGGGGAGCAAUGCCGGGCACGCGUGCCCGGAGGGAGAGUACCCGCAGAAUAAGCAUCGGCUAACUCCGUGCCAGCAGCCGCGGUAAUACGGAGGAUGCGAGCGUUAUCCGGAUUUAUUGGGUUUAAAGGGUGCGCAGGCGGAGGUGCAAGUCAGCGGUCAAAUUGCGGGGCUCAACCCCGUACUGCCGUUGAAACUGCAUCCCUUGAGUGCGCGAGAAGUAUGCGGAAUGCGUGGUGUAGCGGUGAAAUGCAUAGAUAUCACGCAGAACUCCGAUUGCGAAGGCAGCAUACCGGCGCGCAACUGACGCUCAUGCACGAAAGCGUGGGUAUCGAACAGGAUUAGAUACCCUCGUA